rnacentral:tRNA from 1 species
GGGUAUAUAGCUCAGUGGUAGAGCACGUGCUUAGCACGUAUGAAGCUUGGGUACAAUUUUCAGCACCCCCC